AUAAUCUUUUCAUUUUAAUAGAAUGCAAAAAAGGAUGAUGCAUGCAGGAAAGCAUACAAAUAUCUAGCAAGUCUACAUGAGAAUUGUAAAGAACUUAUCCAAUCAGUUGAAGAUACUGGUGUAAUAAUGAGAGAGAUUAGAGAUCUUGAAGAGCAGAUUGAUAAUGAGACACAAAAGAACACUGCUAUGAACCUAGAAAGAAUUACAGCAGACUACAAACAAAUGAAAGAAGAAAAUACAGUUCUUGCUAAGAAAUUCAAGGCACAGAAGUCAUAGAAUUCAUAGAAGUCAUAGAGCAAUAUGUAUGGUGAGAGCCAUUAUUUUGUUAUAAUUACAAAACAUAAAUGAUUUAUUUUUUUAUAAAAUCUGCAAUAUCAGAUGGACAAAUUAUGGACAUUGGAGUGAAAAAAAGUUUAGUCRAUGAAAAGAAUUGGAUUCAAUUAUAAUGUUCCUAGGCCAUCCUCUUGGUUUGAGGAAGAURUCUCUGUGGGUAGACUUAUAGUUCUUAAAACAUCCACGAAAUAAAGUCUUUAGUUAUGAGAAAUAAAUUAUUAAAAUACACCAGAGAAAAAUGUAAUAAAAUAUUGCAAUCAAGUUAAAAAAUUCAAUAAAAACAAUGCUAAUAAUUGAUUUUUAGGUCUUUUGUUGCCGUAUUUUUAUUAUCAUUUAAUCCUGACCAUAAAAAUUUGUAUACAGUGCAACUACUUGCAGAAACGUUUGUCAUAGAAAAUAAGGGGUAUCAAAUGGUAAAAUUCGAGCCUGCGAGCUCCUCGUUUUAAAAUCAAAGAUAUUUCGGCAAUUGCGAGCUUCCAAGCCAAAAGCAAUUUCAAAUCCAAGCGCCUUUCAUUUAGGCACCGAGGUUGCAAGCCUUGGGCAAUUUGUAACGAGCCUCGCAAUUUCUGAGACACCAUUCUAUACCCAUAAAAUAGAACAUUUGAAUUUAGUAAAAAGGAAUAAAUUAAAACAGAAAAGACAAAAAAGAGCAUUCAGCUUCAGUGAUCUUCUUUUGUCUUUUUAAUUUAUUCCUUACUAAGUUCAAAUAAUUUAAUGUCCUUGCUAGUAGUACUUUCUAUAUGACAAACGUUCCCACAAGUAGGUGUAUAAUUWAACAGUUAUUAAUAAUAAUUGCUUUAGACAGUUUAACUGUCAUCAUUAAGAGAAAAAUACUUAAAUGUCUAACAAUAAUAUGCAGUUGUAUGAUAGUGUUUUAUUACAACUACCAAGAACCCUUGCAUAUUUUCUUUGUUCUUCAGAUUUUGAAUCUUUUUGGAGAUUAGUAAAACAAUUUGGACGCUAUAAUUACAUUACAAAAGAAAGUAUUCUGGUAGUUAUAAUUCAAUCUCACAAUAAUGCAAAUUGCAAGUAUGAAAUUCAUGGAUAAUUAGUACAUAAAUUGUCAUGUAAUAAAAUGAAUUGAUUUGAAA